rnacentral:rRNA from 1 species
CCUACGGGAUGCAGCAGUGAGGAAUAUUGGACAAUGGGCGCGAGCCUGAACCAGCCAAGUCGCGUGAGGGAAGACGGUCCUAUGGAUUGUAAACCUCUUUUGUCGGGGAGCAAAAGAGGCCACGCGUGGCGUUCCGAGAGUACCCGAAGAAAAAGCAUAGGCAAACCCCGUGCCAGCAGCCGCGGUAGUACGGGGGAUGCGAGCGUUAUCCGGAUUUAUUGGGUUGAAAGGGGGCGCAGGCGGAAGAUCAAGUCAGCGGUAAAAUUGAGAGGCUCAACCUCUUCGAGCCGUUGAAACUGGUUGUCUUGAGUGAGCGAGAGGUAUGCGGAAUGCGUGGUGUAGCGGUGAAAUGCAUAGAUAUCACGCAGAACUCCGAUUGCGAAGGCAGCAUACCGGCGCUCAACUGACGCUGAUGCACGAAAGUGUGGGUAUCGAACAGGAUUAGAUACCCCUGUAGUC